UUCGAGACGGACUCGGCAGACGUUCGCGUCUCUCUUGUUUGCCGAACCCGUUUUGAAUG
rnacentral:pre_miRNA from 2 species